rnacentral:snRNA from 1 species
GUACUCGCUUCGACAGCACAUAAACUAAAAUUGGAAUGAUGCAGAGAAGAUUAGCAUGGUCCCCGCACAAGGAUGACACCCAAAUUUGUGAAGUGUUCCAUAUUUUU